rfam:Pseudomonas denitrificans ATCC 13867, complete genome.
CUUGACGACCAUAGAGCGUUGGAACCACCUGAUCCCAUCCCGAACUCAGUAGUGAAACGAUGCAUCGCCGAUGGUAGUGUGGGGUUUCCCCAUGUGAGAGUAGGUCAUCGUCAAGC